GCGAAUUCAGCAACAAAGUCUGCUAACGCUUGCCCUUUGAUGGCCGCCCUUGCUUUGAACACAAGGUCAAAUUCACUUAGUUCCACUGCCCAUUUCAACAAUCUUCCCGAGGCAUCGGGCUUCUGGAGUACUUGCCUCAGGGAAAAAUUUGUAAGUACAUGGAUGGUAUGAGCUUGGAAGUAAGGUCUCAAUUUCCUAGAGGCCGUGAUUAAAGCCAAAGCAAGCUUCUCCAU
rnacentral:lncRNA from 1 species